AAGUUUGCUUACUCCUGUUAUUGGCAUAUAUACGUAUAGGAAAUUUGAAGCACAUGGAAGUUGAUUGGGCAUGCAGAUAAAGUUUGGUCGGUAUUGAGAACUUAAAGAAAUAUCAAGAGGCAUAUUCCCUCAAGAAUUAGCUCUACAUACUCUGUUUUUUUAUUGGAAUUAUAUUGUUGGGUUUGAAUUGUUCUUAGUUUGUUUCCGAGUUUUAAUUUGCAUAAUCUCCGAUGUAUAAGGAGUCAACAAGUAGUCCUAGCAUUUCGCUUCAGUUAGUCGUGCUUCCUAUAUUCUCUGUUUCUAGUUAUUGUAGAAGAUUGAGUCUUCAGCUCUAGGCUGUUUAUAGCCCUUUCAUUUGUGAUAAUAAAAACCAUCGAACUAUUCAGUUUUCCUUUGUGUGUUAAGCUUCUGAGAUCAACAUAUAUGACAAUAAGACAACCCUUAAUUACUUUGUUAGACAAUAAAAGAACUUUGGGAUCAACGCAUUGAUAUUUCAC